rnacentral:rRNA from 1 species
ACUUUCAACAACGGAUCUCUUGGUUCUCGCAUCGAUGAAGAACGCAGCGAAAUGCGAUAAGUAGUGUGAAUUGCAGAAUUCCGUGAAUCAUCGAAUCUUUGAACGCACAUUGCGCCUCCCGGUAUUCCGGGAGGCAUGCCUGUUCGAGCGUCA